AUGUUCUCUGUAGCUCUGCUGGUGCUGCUGGCUGCUGGAUCCUAUGUGAGCAGUGAAACACUGACUCAGCCAGCCGCUGUGACUGUAACGCCAGGUCAACGUCUGACCAUCAGGUGUCAAGUUACUUAUUCUCUGAGCAGCUACUGGACACACUGGAUCAGACAGGCUGCUGGGAAAGGACUGGAAUGGAUUGGAAUGAAAUAUACUGGAGACUCAUACUAUAAGGAUUCAUUGAAGAAUAAGUUCAGUAUUGACUUAGAGACUUCCAGUAGCACAGUGACUCUGAAUGGACAGAAUAUGCAGCCUGAAGACUCUGCUGUGUAUUACUGUGCAAGAGAGUCACAGUGA